CCCCUCGCGCUGAUUGGCCUGCCUGAAAAGGCCCUUGCCUAUCAGACGCCGACCGGACUGUCACGCACAAGCCCCACCCUCCGGGAGCCGGAAUCCAACUCUGCUUUCCCUUAGUCGGGUCCGGCUCCGCCCUCUUGCCUAUCAAGAUGACAGCCCUACCCAUUCGAAGUAUGGUACUGGCGUGGUCCUGGGUACCCUAGCCUGUGCCCCUCUACGGCACAGCGUGUGCGGGUCGUAAUCUGGAAAAUCUCAAGCUCUCAAGGAUGAUCGGGCCGGACCGAAGCGGCUAGUGGAGUUAAAAUUGCUCCUUGAAUGAGACUGGACUCCUAAGUGACUGCGCCGUUCCGAGGGUGAGCUUUCAUGUGCUCCCCUGUAGAGAGCAGCGACCUCGGGCCUGCCUUCUAGGGCAGCAGGGAAAACGAGAUCCCGCGGCGGCGCGUGCCGGCCAGCAUCUAGGUGGCUCCAGGAAUUUGCAGCGACCAUGGCUGUCUUUGUGCAGACAAUUCCUCCUCACGCGUGUGAGCAGAUCUGAGAAAGACAACCCCGGAAAGGGCCGGUUAGGGCCAAGAUCCUUUGCAUGGGAAAAGAGACAGCAAGCUGAGAAAAAGAUCUUCACAAAACAUUUCAGAUGCAGGACUGGUAUUAGAAUAUGUGAAAAGCCUCCUACAACUGGAGAGUGAGAAAGCCUCCAGCCAAUGAAAAUGCAUGAAGGGUUUGAACAGAUACAUCCCCAAAGAAGAUAUGUGUGGAUGGCAAAUGAAUAGCCUCAUUGUUGCUUGAGGUCCCAGCAGGCAUUGCCCCUCCUUCAGCUACCACAGUGUGGACCAUGCUGUGCUGUUACUGCCACUAUGUAAGCACAGACAUACCAAAGCUUACUUUCCAGUUCCUGUUUACCGUGAAGACCUGGGACGGUCAGCCGCAGUGACCAGAUCCCCAGGCAAGACCGGCAGCCCCGUGGGACUACAUGGCUCUUCUUGUUGGACCCCCAACGUCUCCCUGGUUUGAGCAACCCCUCACUGUUCCUGCAUCCUGAGGGCCCAGAUUCUUCUAUAUUUUUUGGAUGCUGCUCUUGCCAAUAAAUAUGUGGGACAGGCCAGCUGCUUGAUGUCCUUGCUUGUCCACA